rnacentral:rRNA from 1 species
GUGGAUUAGAUACCCUGGUAGUCCACGCCGUAAACGGUGGGUACUAGGUGUGGGUUUCCUUCCUUGGGAUCCGUGCCGUAGCUAACGCAUUAAGUACCCCGCCUGGGGAGUACGGCCGCAAGGCUAAAACUCAAAGGAAUUGACGGGGGCCCGCACAAGCGGCGGAGCAUGUGGAUUAAUUCGAUGCAACGCGAAGAACCUUACCUGGGUUUGACAUGCACAGGACGCCGGCAGAGAUGUCGGUUCCCUUGUGGCCUGUGUGCAGGUGGUGCAUGGCCGUCGCCAGCU